rnacentral:rRNA from 1 species
GAUGAACGCUCGCGGGAGGCCUAACACAUGCAAGCCGAGCGGUAUUGUUUCUUCGGAAAUGAGAGAGCGGCGUACGGGUGCGUAACACGUGUGCAACCUGCCUUUAUCUGGGGGAUAGCCUUUCGAAAGGAAGAUUAAUACUCCAUAAUAUAUUGAACGGCAUCGUUUAAUAUUGAAAGCUCCGGCGGAUAGAGAUGGGCACGCGCAAGAUUAGCUAGUUGGUGAGGUAACGGCUCACCAAGGUGAUGAUCUUUAGGGGGCCUGAGAGGGUGAUCCCCCACACUGGUACUGAGACACGGACCAGACUCCUACGGGAGGCAGCAGUGAGGAAUAUUGGUCAAUGGGUGCAAGCCUGAACCAGCCAUCCCGCGUGAAGGACGACUGCCCUAUGGGUUGUAAACUUCUUUUGUAUAGGGAUAAACCUACCCUCGAGAGGGUAGCUGAAGGUACUAUACGAAUAAGCACCGGCUAACUCCGUG